UGGGGUGUAGUCCAGUGGUAGGUCACUUGCCUACCAUGUACAAGGCCCUGGGUUUAAUCCCUAGCACCACAC
rnacentral:tRNA from 1 species